rnacentral:misc_RNA from 1 species
GCAAGAAAGUGGUAGUUUCAUUCAGCCAUCACGAUCACAAUCAUUGCUGUUAUGAACACAUUGGCCCAGCCUCUAUGGCACAAACCCAACAGUGAAAUAAAAUUAGAAUUUGAGAUUUUAAUUGAAUAUUUUUAUGUCCAAAAUCCUAUGCCUUUUAAUAAACAAAUCUAAAAUCGCUAUAUCUUUUAAAGAGGAAAAAAAAAAGAUAUAGC